UUGAAAGCCACCACCACUAUUGGAAUGCUCCUCAUGAAUUCGCAUGGAAUUCUCAGCAACUUCAUUUGUGGAUUGACUCACCAGCUGAUCCAUACGAGCACUAAGGUUGCCAAACAUCUCCAUCAUUUGGUUGAAGAUUUCUCUCUGUCCAGUUGAAAGUGACUCCAAGGACUUUUCUAGCUUCUCCACUCUUUGAUCCGUAGCCAGGCUCUGAUACCACUUUGGUACGUACUGGCUGGUUGAGGAGGGAUUUCCUUUACCUAUUUUGAAGGAUUGUAAAGAAAACCCCAAAAGAUGAAAACAAGAUAAAAUACUCUGAUUACUUCGAGGGAACCAGAACCUCCAAUGAAAACACCAAAGUGCUGGGAAAAGAUAAGCGUGUUUGUUGUUAUUCUCUUCCCUUUUAAAUAGGCCACAAUACAACUGAAGUUCCCAACAAAAUAGGAAUAAUCUUAACAGCUAGUUGACUAAUUCAACUCAACUACAAAUCAGAAAAUAGUUAACAUGAAUAUCUAGAAAUCAGAAAGAUUUAAACAGAAAAUAACAGAAAUUAUUUAGAGUCCUAAUGACUAGGAAUUCUUGAAUGUAACAGGUUUUAAAAUUCCAUAAUUGCUAGGAUAAAGUUAUAGUUCAACCUUGUGAAAGGAAACUCUUACACCCAUAAAAAAAGAUGUAAAUCCUUACCGUGUUAAGGUUUGGAUUCAGAUGAAUUCAUACUCCGGAAAACCGAUGCUCGAUUUAUGGCUUAACAUUCCAAUUUUUUGUUACAUUAUUACCUACUUAUUCAAAUAAGAUACUCGUAGUGUCACUAUUUCUCGCAUUGUCAUAUAGUUGCAUCUUAAUAUUAAAUAAAAUAAAUUAUUCCGACCGGUUAGAUAGUAUCCUUUCCGACUUCUUAACAGCUUCACUGACAUGACCAUUACAUAAAUUAAUG
rnacentral:lncRNA from 1 species